rnacentral:rRNA from 1 species
AAUGAACGCUGGCGGCAGGCCUAACACAUGCAAGUCGAACGGGUCCUUCGGGACUAGUGGCGGACGGGUGAGUAACGCGUGGGAACAUACCCAAAGGUACGGAAUAGCCUCUGGAAACGGAGAGUAAUACCGUAUGUGCCCUUCGGGGGAAAGAUUUAUCGCCUUUGGAUUGGCCCGCGUUGGAUUAGGUAGUUGGUGGGGUAAUGGCCUACCAAGCCGACGAUCCAUAGCUGGUUUGAGAGGAUGAUCAGCCACACUGGGACUGAGACACGGCCCAGACUCCCACGGGAGGCAGCAGUGGGGAAUCUUAGACAAUGGGGGAAACCCUGAUCUAGCCAUGCCGCGUGAUCGAUGAAGGCCUUAGGGUCGUAAAGAUCUUUCAGUGGGGAAGAUAAUGACCGUACCCACAGAAGAAGCCCCGGCUAACUCCGUGCCAGCCGCCGCCGUAACAC